UACAGAGGUCUCAAGCGUUGUUCGGAUUCAUUGGGCGUAAAGGGUGUGUAGGUGGCGCCGUAAGUCGGGUGUGAAAUUUCGGAGCUUAACUCCGAAACUGCAUUCGAUACUGCGGUGCUUGAGGACUGGAGAGGAGACUGGAAUUCAUGGUGUAGCAGUGAAAUGCGUAGAGAUCAUGAGGAAGACCAGUGGCGAAGGCGGGUCUCUGGACAGCUCCUGACACUGAGACACGAAGGCCAGGGGAGCAAACGGG
rnacentral:rRNA from 1 species